rnacentral:rRNA from 1 species
GAUGAACGCUGGCGGCGUGCCUAAUACAUGCAAGUCGAGCGAACAGAUGAGGAGCUUGCUCCUCUGACGUUAGCGGCGGACGGGUGAGUAACACGUGGAUAACCUACCUAUAAGACUGGGAUAACUUCGGGAAACCGGAGCUAAUACCGGAUAAUAUAUUGAACCGCAUGGUUCAAUAGUGAAAGACGGUUUUGCUGUCACUUAUAGAUGGAUCCGCGCCGCAUUAGCUAGUUGGUAAGGUAACGGCUUACCAAGGCAACGAUGCGUAGCCGACCUGAGAGGGUGAUAGGCGACACUGGAACGGAGACGCGGUCCAGACUCCUACGGGAGGCAGCAGUAGGGAAUCUUCCGCAAUGGGCGAAAACCUGACGGAGCAACGCCGCGUGAGUUAUGAAGGUCUUCGGAUCGUAAAACUCUGUUAUUAGUUAAGAACAAAUGUGUAAGUAACUAUGCACGUCUUGACGGUACCUAAUCAGAAAGCCACGGCUAACUACGUG